GUCGGCCGAGGGCGUUUUUCCAACCGACACCCAGGUCUGCACCAGAGGAAGAGCUGGGGACAUGUUUGGUUUCUUUUCUCACAGAGAAACAAGCGUCACUAAAAGCAGAAGGAAUCCAUCCAGCUGCUGACUCAACUGUUCUACUCCUCUGUGUUUUACUGUGGACACGGCCAUCUGCACGAAUAUCAGGAGGAACUCUGAUUCUCUCAUUUUAUGCAGAUGACACUGUUUUGUUUUCAUCUGUCUCCUCAAAUCAACUGUCUUCUUCAGACGUGUCUUGAUGAUCUUAAUCUCUUCCCUAAAAGGGGAACGCCCACCAGAUGAGAUGGGAUGUCGGCGAAGAUGCGCGGCAGCUGUUUUCCUGCCUCCAAGUCGGGCCGGGGCUUGGGGAGCUCCACGUCGCCCAGACUGUUUGGCCCUAAAUUGGCUUCCUGCGUCCCGGCCCGUCAGAGGGAGUUGGAUCAGUCUGCUGCUGAAG